UGUUCAAGCCUCACCAAUGCGUUUAAAGAUAUAAAAUAUUAUUUUAGACUAAAUCAGCAAUUCUUUUAUCUUCUUAUAAUUCUUAUCUUUCUUUUUCUGCAGUGCAGAACAACAUUCUCUCCUCUCUCUCUCUCUCAAUGUCUGUGUGUGUGUGUGAAGAAUGAAGAGAGCAGUAAUCUUCCGAUGACCACCUGUACCGUACAAAAUCGGAUUUAGUCUUUUAUUUUGAGUGGUUUCUAUGUGAUCUACGUUUGAGCUCCAUCAAAAUGACGAGAAAAGCAUACCCAUACGGAGUCAAAUCUCAUAUUCGCACCAAAGAGCAAUUGUUACUAAAGUCUUUAGCAGAUACAUUCCCAGUUUCAUUCUUCUGUUAUUUCUGAAAAUGAGUACAGAAUCGACUCUGGUGUGGCUGGACUUUUGAUUGUCCUUAAAAAUCUAAGGGAUGAGGUCAAUAUGAUUGUCAAAGUCAAAGGCUAAACUACUCCAUGGGAAGCUCUUGGAAAGGAAAUACAAUCAUGAGGAUAUCAUCUUGUCCUUGAUUCACCAUCAAUCUAUUUGAACUUUUUAAGGGGUUGUAAUAUGAAAUUGAAGCUGCAAGAGCUUAUGAAUGAGGAGACAAAAAAUGUUGUUCACUCAAUAAGGAAAAGAUAUGGACUUGCAAUGCAUACAUCAGAAGAGAGGAGAGCAAUAUCUGGUAUUAUGAAAGAAAUCAUCCAUGGAGGAGAAGAGGAAAUUGCAGAUACCAUGCCUAGAAUUAAGGCUGCCAAGAAUUGUUCUUUUCAGAGAAUUGAAUUUGUAUAUUAAUUUUAAUUUUUUUUUAAUAUGAAAUCUUGCAGUCAUCAUUGCUAGAUAGUGUUUUUCUGGUGAUGGGGCCCACAGUUUGAAAGUCACUAAAAAAGUGAUAGUGCCUUUUUGAGUCUUUGUCACGCCAGCAAUGGCAACGGGCAACCCUUCAAAUUUUGGUGUCUAAGAUGGUGGCUAUUGCCAUUACACACCAAUCAUGGUUGUCUUUUACUUCAAUCCACACCAUUCACAAUGGUGUUUAUAGCUCAGUUUUGUUGUAGUGCAUGGGCUAUUGAUCAAGUGCAUGUCUCCAAGAGAGUAGAGACCAAGACAUUUGAAUAUUCUGUAGAUUUCAAUAUAUAGAGUUAGAUCUUAUUUGAAUGUUCUACGACUGUACGUGGAUCAUCCUUGUGAAUCAAGCUGUUGGUGUAGAAAUAAGAGCAAUGCUAGAAAGACCUUUUUGUUUUCUGUUACA